rnacentral:tRNA from 1 species
GGCAGAGCUCAGCAGUAGAGCGUGUACUUCGCAUGCACGAGGUCCUGGGUUCAAUUCCCAGGACCGCCA